GACGAACCGUGCGAACGUUGUUCGGAUUCACUGGGCUUAAAGGGCGCGUAGGCGGGCGAUCAAGUCAGGGGUGAAAUCUUUCGGCUCAACCGGAAAAGGGCCUUUGAUACUGGUCGCCUCGAGGGAGGUAGGGGCAUGGCGGAACUUCCGGUGGAGCGGUGAAAUGCGUAGAUAUCGGAAGGAACGCCGGUGGCGAAAGCGGCGUGCUGGACCUCUUCUGACGCUGACGGCGCGAAAGCCAGGGGAGCGGA
rnacentral:rRNA from 1 species